rnacentral:lncRNA from 1 species
GUGUGUGCCCAGCUGCGGGGCUCAGGUACAGAUGGUCCAGUGUGCGCUGGGAGGACCCGAGGAACGGCCCAGCAGAUGUGGAAACUCAGAGAGGAUGCCACUGUUUUGAACUAUUUUGAAGGCACAGCCACCAGAGCUUUAGGGACAGGGUAUUUUAUCACAGCAACAGAAAUGAAACCAAAACAACUCCACAAUAAAAUUCUUGAGUUUCUUGGGGCCAAGAAGAUGACACGAUAAGAUAAAGACACUGGCCAAGCAUGACCUCCAGAGUUUGGCCCUUGCAUAAAGGAGAAAAUUAAUUCCUUCAGUUGUUCUCUGACCUCCACAUGCGUCCUGUAACAUGGGUGUAUGCAUACACAUAAACACACAUCCACACGUUGUUAAAUAAAUAAAAAAAAUAUGUUAACAGUUAAAAA